rnacentral:tRNA from 1 species
AGGAACUUAGGUUAGAAAAAGACCAAGGACCUUCAAAGCCCUAAGCGGGGGUGACAAUCCCCCAGUCCCUG